UACGUAGGGAGCAAGCGUUGUUCGGAUUUACUGGGCGUAAAGAGCGCGUAGGCGGCGCGGUAAGUCACUUGUGAAAUCUCUGAGCUUAACUCAGAACGGCCAAGUGAUACUGCAGUGCUAGAGUGCAGAAGGGGCAAUCGGAAUUCUUGGUGUAGCGGUGAAAUGCGUAGAUAUCAAGAGGAACACCUGAGGUGAAGACGGGUUGCUAGGCUGACACUGACGCUGAGGCGCGAAAGCCAGGGGAGCAAACGGG
rnacentral:rRNA from 1 species